ACGAUGGAGAGUUUGAUCCUGGCUCAGGAUGAACGCUAGCGGCAGGCCUAAUACAUGCAAGGCGAAGGGGCAGCAAUGCCACUGUCGUACGGGUGCGUAACGCGUAUGCAACCUACCUAUCACAGGGGAAUAGCCUUUGGAAACAGGGAUUAAUACCGCAUAAAGCAGGGACUCCGCAUGGAGAUAUUGCUAAAGAUUUAUC
rnacentral:rRNA from 1 species